GACGAACGCUGGCGGCGUGCUUAACACAUGCAAGUCGAACGGAAAGGCCUGCUUUCCCUUGUGGAUUGCGGGUACUCGAGUGGCGAACGGGUGAGUAACACGUGAGUGAUCUGCCCCCAACUUGGGUAUAAGCCUGGGAAACUGGGUCUAAUUCCCGAUAGGACUGCAGGGUGGUGCCUGUGGUGGAAAACGAUUUUCUAGUGGUUGGGGAUGAGCUCGCGGCCUAUCAGCUUGUUGGUGGGGUAAUGGCCUACCAAGGCGGCGACGGGUAGCCGGCCUGAGAGGGGGGACGGCCACAUUGGGACUGAGAUACGGCCCAGACUCCUACGGGAGGCAGCAGUGGGGAAUAUUGCACAAUGGGCGGAAGCCUGAUGCAGCGACGCCGCGUGGGGGAUGACGGCCUUCGGGUUGUAAACUCCUUUCGACCGCGAGGAAGCCACCUGGUUGGAAGGGUGGUGACGGUAGUGGUAGAAGAAGCACCGGCUGACUACGUG
rnacentral:rRNA from 1 species